GCUUGAACACAUCAACUCUGAGAUCAUGACCUGAGCCAAAGUCGGACGCUUAACCGAAUGAGCCAUCCAGGCGCCCCUGGCAUGCUUUUCUUGAGGAGACAAUGUUAGCUUUCCCAUAACUAAAAACUAUAAGAUAGCUUUCCAGAUUAAGGGGUUACUUUUAAAGACACACACACAUGCAAAUAUUGAAAAUAUCAUUGUAAACCUCACUAUCAUGAAAUAGGAAUGUUGAUAAUAUUGAUGUAUGACAUUCAGGUAUGAUAUAUGAUCUUAGGUUGUGGGAAUGUAGUGAUGAAUAACUCAUUGGAAUUUAGAUGAAUGACAGAUUUAUUAACGUAUAAGAGGGAAAAGAGGGCCACAUUGCAGAGAGUAAGUUUUCUGCAUGUCAGGUGGGAGAAGCGUUUGGCUAUUCAUGAAGGGGAGCAGCAGAGGUUCUGUCAUCCAGCCCAGAGUCUUAUCAAGGCUGACCAGAAGCAGCAAUGAUAUUUUCUCUCCAGCUGCCCCAGGUGAGCCUUGCUCCUCGACAUUUAGCCACCGAGCCUGUCUCACGGGCACUCUUAGAGUUCUGUGAGCUAUGUAAGACCCCUUAGCCAAUUUGGUUUCUGUUUUAUUGUAGAGUGGAUUCUGUAUCUGAUUGACACAGAAAUCAAGAAAAUUUACUGGAUUUAAAUACAUGGGGGUCAAGGACCAUCAGAAGAUGGCCAUAUAUAUAGUCUAAGACAUCAGACUGAUCGGAAGGGGUGAGGUACAAAGGAGAGACAAGACAAGAAGGCCAACUAGCUCCAACAACUCUUUCAAAAGUUGGGUUGUGAAAGGGAGAGGAGCGGUAAAGAAGUGCUGGAAAAGGGUGUAGAGUCAAGGGAGGAAACUUCCAUUUUUAAAGACAGAAGUGAUUUAAGGUUCCUGAGAAGACUGGAAGAUAAUACAAAGGACAGGUGGAGAAUGCUUUAGCUAGAAGCUGUGCCGCUUUUAAUGUAAUAGAAGGUUACGUAGGUACUGUCCAAUGAACAGCUUCUUUGACUCUAGACUGGCUGGAAGUAUGCAAAUAUUUGCACUGGAAGAGCCUUGCCUGGUGUAGGAAGAAGGAACUGAGAAAUGCCAUAGGAUGGAUAUCCCAAAUGGUGGAAACAGAGCAGUUACAUUCAUUAAGGAAUAUAGAAAAAGACCCAAAAUUGGAGAGAUAAAGUGGUUUGGGAGACUUAAUACAAAUGCAACUGUGUUUUAAAAGACUGAAAUCUAAGCUGCUGAAUUGUACUCCGUGUGGAAAACUGGGAUAACAGAAGAGGGAUGAUCUUUUCACACCACAGAAGCAGGUUUGAAAGGCAAACCCGGCUCAGCUCAAGUCCACGUAUCACUUGACAGACGGACUUAGUGUCACCGUUUGUACCACAGUGGAAACACCGAUCAACAUACAGCGUGUGGAUAUAGUUACUCAUUUUAUCUUUCGCUCCGAUUGAGUGUUCACCAAGCAACCCUCUCAUUCUGACUUAGUUUUUGCUAGCUACUAUUUCUUAACAUGAAUUAAUAAACUGGCAAUGUGAUUUAUA